rnacentral:lncRNA from 1 species
AACUUUGUCAACAUGUUCAAAAUAUGAAGGAGACCGUGUAGUCGAAUUAUCAUUCGGUGUAGGUUUCAUUUUUUUUGGAGCACCUUUUGUUUUUACGGGUUGAGAGGGUGAUUUCAUGUUGGUGGUUUCCGAAUAGGCAAUCUUCCUAAAUUGUUCUUUGAUGUAGAGUUUCAUAUUGUCAUCCGCUUUCAAAAAUCUCUCUUGUAUUACUUUUCAUUUGGCUAAAAUAGAGAUAUUCAAUUUACCGUCAU